CCGCUCAGAUUGAACGCUGGCGGCAUGCUUUACACAUGCAAGUCGAACGGCAGCGCGGGCUUCGGCCUGGCGGUGCAGUGGCGAACGGGUGAGUAAUAUAUCGGAACGUACCCAGAAGUGGGGGAUAACGUAGCGAAAGUUACGCUAAUACCGCAUACGAUCUACGGAUGAAAGCAGGGGAUCUUCGGACCUUGUGCUUUUGGAGCGGCCGAUAUCUGAUUAGCUAGUUGGUGAGGUAAAGGCUCACCAAGGCGACGAUCAGUAGCUGGUCUGAGAGGACGACCAGCCACACUGGAACUGAGACACGGUCCAGACUCCUACGGGAGGCAGCAGUGGGGAAUUUUGGACAAUGGGGGCAACCCUGAUCCAGCAAUGCCGCGUGAGUGAAGAAGGCCUUCGGGUUGUAAAGCUCUUUUGUCAGGGAAGAAACGGGAGUGGCUAAUAUCCAUUCCUAAUGACGGUACCUGAAGAAUAAGCACCGGCUAACUACGUGCCAGCAGCCGCGGUAAUACGUAGGGUGCAAGCGUUAAUUCGGAAUUACUGGGCGUAAAGCGUGCGCAGGCGGUUUUGUAAGUCUGACGUGAAAUCCCCGGGCUUAACCUGGGAAUUGCGUUGGAGACUGCAAGGCUGGAGUCUGGCAGAGGGGGGUAGAAUUCCACGUGUAGCAGUGAAAUGCGUAGAGAUGUGGAGGAACACCGAUGGCGAAGGCAGCCCCCUGGGUCAAGACUGACGCUCAUGCACGAAAGCGUGGGGAGCAAACAGGAUUAGAUACCCUGGUAGUCCACGCCCUAAACGAUGUCUACUAGUUGUCGGGUUUUAAUUAACUUGGUAACGCAGCUAACGCGUGAAGUAGACCGCCUGGGGAGUACGGUCGCAAGAUUAAAACUCAAAGGAAUUGACGGGGACCCGCACAAGCGGUGGAUGAUGUGGAUUAAUUCGAUGCAACGCGAAAAACCUUACCUACCCUUGACAUGUCAGGAACCUUGGAGAGAUCUGAGGGUGCCCGAAAGGGAGCCUGAACACAGGUGCUGCAUGGCUGUCGUCAGCUCGUGUCGUGAGAUGUUGGGUUAAGUCCCGCAACGAGCGCAACCCUUGUCAUUAGUUGCUACGAAAGGGCACUCUAAUGAGACUGCCGGUGACAAACCGGAGGAAGGUGGGGAUGACGUCAAGUCCUCAUGGCCCUUAUGGGUAGGGCUUCACACGUCAUACAAUGGUACAUACAGAGGGCCGCCAACCCGCGAGGGGGAGCUAAUCCCAGAAAGUGUAUCGUAGUCCGGAUCGUAGUCUGCAACUCGACUACGUGAAGUUGGAAUCGCUAGUAAUCGCGGAUCAGCAUGCCGCGGUGAAUACGUUCCCCGGGGUCUUGUACACACCGCCACAGUCACACCAUGGGAAGCGGGUUUUACCAGAAGUAGGUAGCUUAACCGCAAGGGGGGCGCUUACCACGGUAGGAUUCGUGACUGGGGUGAUC
rnacentral:rRNA from 1 species